AUGGCAGUAGUAGACUUUGACCUCCGGUUCACAUAUGUGUUGGCUGGUUGGGAAGGGUCCGCACACGACGCGACCGUUUUAGCUGAUGCAUUAACUCGUGAGAGAGGCUUACAAGUACCACCUGGAAAUUACUACCUAGUUGAUGCUGGUUAUGGAGCCAAGCCUGGGUUCUUACCACCUUUUCGUGGCAUGAGGUACCAUUUGAAUGAGUGGGGCAACAAUUCGGUCCAAAAUGAUAAGGAGCUAUUCAAUCUUAGGCACUCAUCUCUACGGGUGACGGUAGAGAGGGCUUUUGGAUCUCUCGAGAGGCGCUUCAAAAUUUUAGAUGAUGCCAAACCCUUCUUCACUUUCCGAGUCCAAGUCGACAUUGUUAUAGCUUGUUGUGUUCUUCAUAAUUAUGCACUAUCACAAGGGAUCGAUGAAUUCAUUAUACCAGAAGUGACAUGGACCACCCAACCAAUUCAAACUUCAAGGCAACAAUUAAGUGAUAAUAGGGCCUUGGUAGACCAUAGGCUACAAAUUGUCACCCAAAUGUGGGAAGAUAGGCAACUCAUGUAUGCAAAUUUAUGA
rnacentral:rRNA from 1 species